AACGCACGAGACCUGCGGACCUGCGGAGGGAUCAUUACCGAGUUCGUGCCCCGCAGCGGGGUAGAUCUCCCACCCUUGUGUAUCUUCGUACCGUUCUGUUGCUUUGGCAGGCCGCUCAGGCUUCGGCUCGACCACCGGCUCCCCCAGGGGGGCGGGUGUGCGCCUGCCAGAGGACCCCCCAACUCUUGUUUGUCAGUGUCGUCUGAGUACUAUAACCAAUCGUUAAAACUUUCAACAAUG
rnacentral:misc_RNA from 1 species